UACGAAGGGGGCUAGCGUUGCUCGGAAUCACUGGGCGUAAAGCGCACGUAGGCGGCAUCUUAAGUCAGGGGUGAAAUCCUGGAGCUCAACUCCAGAACUGCCUUUGAUACUGGCGAUCUUGAGUCCGGGAGAGGUGAGUGGAACUGCGAGUGUAGAGGUGGAAUUCGUAGAUAUUCGCAAGAACACCAGUGGCGAAGGCGGCUCACUGGCCCGGUACUGACGCUGAGGUGCGAAAGCGUGGGGAGCAAACAGG
rnacentral:rRNA from 1 species